UACAUGUCUUUGAGGUGCCUAUGAUAUUUUGAUACCUGUAUCGAAUGUGUAAUGGACUGAAUGAGGGUAACUGGGAUUUCCUUCACCUCGCUUAUCUUUUCUUUGUGUUGGGAAUAUUCUUAUUCUUCUAGCUGUUUUCAAAUAUACAAUCAAUUAUUGUUAAAUGCAGUCUCCCUACUGUAAUAUCGAAUGCUGGAACUAUUCCUUCUAUCUAACUGUAUUUCUGUGCCCACUAAUCAACUUCUGUUCAUCCCCAACCCCAGGCCUGCGCAUUUCUGACUGUGCUUGUUAGAAAAGCCCCAGCUGGAGGGGGUGAGCAGUCCCUGUUGCUGUGACCACGGAAGGCCGCAGGGGAAGGCAGAUUACAUAUGCGAAGGAGGUGUCUGUGGCCAUGUGUCUUUAAGGGAGAGCCCACAGAAAAAUGAGCCUAAGGGAAAUAAAGCGAGAAGUCUGCUUCAAUCACAGAGACGAUAUUUAAGAAUAAGAGGAAUUGACAACUUCAAGAAGGACACCAGCC
rnacentral:lncRNA from 10 species